UACAGAGGUCUCAAGCGUUGUUCGGAUUUACUGGGCGUAAAGAGCGCGCAGGCGGUCGUCCAAGUCGCGUGUGAAAGCCCCCGGCUUAACUGGGGAGGGUCACGCGAUACUGGUCGACUCGAAGGCAGGAGAGGGUAGUGGAAUUCCCGGUGUAGUGGUGAAAUGCGUAGAUAUCGGGAGGAACACCAGUGGCGAAGGCGACUACCUGGCCUGUUCUUGACGCUGAGGCGCGAAAGCUAGGGGAGCAAACGGG
rnacentral:rRNA from 1 species